rnacentral:misc_RNA from 1 species
GAUGAAGAACGCAGCGAAAUGCGAUAAGUAAUGUGAAUUGCAGAAUUCAGUGAAUCAUCGAAUCUUUGAACGCACCUUGCGCCCUUUGGCCAUUCCGAAGGGCAUGCCUGUUUGAGUAUCAUGAACACCUCAACUCUUCAUGGUUUUCCGUGAUGAGCUUGGACUUUGGGGGUCUUGCUGGCCUAUGGCCAGCUCCUCUAAAAUAAAUCAGCUUGCCAGUGUUUGGUGGGUAUCACAGGUGUGAUAACUAUCUACGCUUGUGGUUUUCCACCAGGUAACCUUCAGCAGUGGAGGUUCGCUGGAGCUCACAGAUGUGUCUCUCCUCAGUGAGGACAGCUCUUUGAAUGUUUGAUCUCAAAUCAGGUAGGACUACCCGCUGAACUUAAGCAUAUCAAUAAGCGGAGGA